rnacentral:rRNA from 1 species
UACGGAGGGGACUAGCGUUGUUCGGAAUUACUGGGCGUAAAGCGCACGUAGGCGGAUUUGUAAGUCAGGGGUGAAAUCCCGGGGCUCAACCUCGGAACUGCCUUUGAUACUGCGAAUCUCGAGUCCGGAAGAGGUGAGUGGAACUCCUAGUGUAGAGGUGAAAUUCGUAGAUAUUAGGAAGAACACCAGUGGCGAAGGCGGCUCACUGGUCCGGUACUGACGCUGAGGUGCGAAAGCGUGGGGAGCAAACAGG